rnacentral:misc_RNA from 1 species
CCUCAUUGAGUUCAUCAACUUUUUGCUUCCUUAACAUCUGUAAGAAGUCUAGCAGAAUUUGCAUAUUUCGCUCUGCUUCCUCCUGUUCCAAUUUCCUCUUUUUCUCUGACAACAUCAACAAUAGAGCGUCCAGCUCCUUAAUUGACACUUCAGAACCCUGUUCCAAUGAAUGACGAAACUGUUCAACAGGGGAUGCAGUUUUUGAAAUCUGACGGGCAGAUGUCUUCUUCAAUAGCUUGUCAAGUAGGAAAUUGGGAUAGAGUUGACUGGUAGUGAGAUAAUGAGAACAACAGGGGCAAUCACUCUUGUUGUGAAGAUGAGUAACUAUGCACAUAUAGCAAAAACUGUGCCCACAAGCUGUUAAAAAUGCAUCCUUUAUGAUCUGCAUACAUAUAGGACACAACAAUUCCCUGUCCAAUUCCCAUUCUGUCACUGUCCCAACUUCUUCAUCCCUUAGAGUUACACUACCCCCCUCCUCU